rnacentral:rRNA from 1 species
AUUGAACGCUGGCGGCAGGCUUAACACAUGCAAGUCGAGCGGGGGAAGGUAGCUUGCUACUGGACCUAGCGGCGGACGGGUGAGUAAUGCUUAGGAAUCUGCCUAUUAGUGGGGGACAACAUCUCGAAAGGGAUGCUAAUACCGCAUACGUCCUACGGGAGAAAGCAGGGGAUCUUCGGACCUUGCGCUAAUAGAUGAGCCUAAGUCGGAUUAGCUAGUUGGUGGGGUAAAGGCCUACCAAGGCGACGAUCUGUAGCGGGUCUGAGAGGAUGAUCCGCCACACUGGGACUGAGACACGGCCCAGACUCCUACGGGAGGCAGCAGUGGGGAAUAUUGGACAAUGGGGGGAACCCUGAUCCAGCCAUGCCGCGUGUGUGAAGAAGGCCUUAUGGUUGUAAAGCACUUUAAGCGAGGAGGAGGCUACUUUAGUUAAUACCUAGAGAUAGUGGACGUUACUCGCAGAAUAAGCACCGGCUAACUCUGUGCCAGCAGCCGCGGUAAUACAGAGGGUGCGAGCGUUAAU